rnacentral:rRNA from 1 species
AGAGUUUGAUCCUGGCUCAGAAUGAACGUUGGCGGCGUGGAUUAGGCAUGCAAGUCGAACGGGCCUGGUUUUCGGAUCAGGUCAGUGGCGCAAGGGUGGGUAAGGCGACGGCAACCAACCCCAUGGUUGGGCAUGGCCGCGGGAAACUGCGGGUAAUUCCCAGCGAAGUUCAGUUCGGGCAUCCGAGUUGAACCAAAGUUCCGACGCCGUGGGACGGGCCGUCGUGGUAUUAGGUAGUUGGCGGGGUAACGGCCCACCAAGCCUAUGAUGCCUACCGGGCGUGCGAGCGUGGCCCGGCACACUGGGACUGAGACACUGCCCAGACUCCUACGGGAGGCUGCAGUCGAGAAUCUUCGGCAAUGGGCGCAAGCCUGACCGAGCGACGCCGCGUGGAGGAUG